AUUGAACGUUAGCGGGAUGCCUUACACAUGCAAGUCGAACGGCAGCGGGAAAGUAGCUUGCUACUUUUGCCGGCGAGUGGCGAACGGGUGAGUAAUGUAUCGGAACGUGCCCAGUAGCGGGGGAUAACUACGCGAAAGCGUGGCUAAUACCGCAUACGCCCUACGGGGGAAAGGGGGGGAUCUUAGGACCUCUCACUAUUGGAGCGGCCGAUAUCGGAUUAGCUAGUUGGUGAGGUAAAGGCUCACCAAGGCGACGAUCCGUAGCUGGUUUGAGAGGACGACCAGCCACACUGGGACUGAGACACGGCCCAGACUCCUACGGGAGGCAGCAGUGGGGAAUUUUGGACAAUGGGGGAAACCCUGAUCCAGCCAUCCCGCGUGUGCGAUGAAGGCCUUCGGGUUGUAAAGCACUUUUGUCAGGGAAGAAAAGGUUCUGGCUAAUAUCCGGAACUGAUGACGGUA
rnacentral:rRNA from 1 species